rnacentral:rRNA from 1 species
UACGUAGGGGGCAAGCGUUGUCCGGAAUCAUUGGGCGUAAAGAGCGUGUAGGCGGCCCGAUAAGUCCGCCGUGAAAGUCCAGGGCUCAACCCUGGGAUGCCGGUGGAAACUGUCGGGCUAGAGUCCGGAAGAGGCGAGUGGAAUUCCUGGUGUAGCGGUGAAAUGCGCAGAUAUCAGGAGGAACACCGGUGGCGAAGGCGGGUCUCUGGGCAGUAACUGACGCUGAGGAGCGAAAGCGUGGGGAGCGAACAGG